CCAAUUACAAAUUGGAAAGUGCCCAUCACUAAUUAUAAGACACUGUGUUAAUAUAAUUCCUCUAUAGGCAUGAAUGACUUCAGCUACCUGCACACCAACUGCUUUGAGAUUUCCAUCUUUCUUGGGUGCGAUAAGUUUCCCGCAUGAGAGUGAAUUGGCGUUGGAGUGGGAAAACAACCGAGAGGCUCUGCUGGCUUUCAUUGAGCAGGUGCAUCGAGGCAUUAAAGGAGUUGUGAGAGACGUCGAUGGGAAUCUUCUAGCAAAUGCCACAGUGUCAGUGGAGGAAAUCAAACAUGACGUCA